rnacentral:rRNA from 1 species
UUGGGGAAUCUUGCGCAAUGGGCGAAAGCCUGACGCAGCCAUGCCGCGUGAAUGAUGAAGGUCUUAGGAUUGUAAAAUUCUUUCACCGGGGACGAUAAUGACGGUACCCGGAGAAGAAGCUCCGGCUAACUUCGUGCCAGCAGCCGCGGUAAUACGAAGGGGGCUAGCGUUGCUCGGAAUUACUGGGCGUAAAGGGCGCGUAGGCGGACAGCUUAGUCAGAGGUGAAAGCCCAGGGCUCAACCUUGGAAUUGCCUUUGAUACUGGCUGUCUUGAGUUUGGGAGAGGUGAGUGGAACUCCGAGUGUAGAGGUGAAAUUCGUAGAUAUUCGGAAGAACACCAGUGGCGAAGGCGACUCACUGGCCCAAUACUGACGCUGAGGCGCGAAAGCGUGGGGAGCAAACAGGAUUAGAUACCCUAGUAGUCC